GUUCCUGUAGUUGAGUGGCAACGAUGGUUUUUCAGACCAUAGACCUUGGAGAGAAGCCAAGCAGGAAUA
rnacentral:tRNA from 1 species